AGCGUUAAUCGAAUAAUACUGCCGGUGUUCCGAUCAGUGUAAUCGCGUUUUCCGAGCAGUUAUGUUCGUGUCGAAUUCAUCGCUCCUACGGUGUGUAAAGUGCAGGUGUGCAAGUGAUAGUUACUUUUGAGAGUUCGAUUUCAACGUGACUUAUUUACAAGUAUAUAGUGCAGUGAAAAGGAUCACAAUGAAUGAAUUUAUCCUUCAACACAGCGAGACGUGAGCUGACAUUCUACGUGCGAUAGAUAAACGAGCGGAGUUACUCACUGACAACGUCGAUGGUGAUGGUGUGAUUUAUGGAUCCCUGACUGUUUGUCGCCAAACACGUGUAUCUCCCUUUGUCGUCCUCAACAACGCCGUUGAAGUGCAAGCUUCCUUUGCGGCGUGUGCACACAUCGAGCUCUGCUCUCCGUCCAUGUGCGAGAGCUGCCUCUCGCAGGAUUCUUCAACCGGUUUCUCAUUCUCAUCCCGCAGACGCGGCAGUGUUUGUCGCUUGAGCCGGACGAUAAUAAAACACGAUUGUCACGGACUGCAGACCUCAUCGCGGAUCGAAAUCUAUUUGAAAUUUGACUUUCUUCAAUACGACGAAAAGAAAAGUGCUGCCAGCAUUUCAAGCCAGAAUAUUAAUCCAACCGCACAUCCGCGGGAGAAUCGCCCCUGCCAGCAUCGUUCUCACAGACGCUU
rnacentral:misc_RNA from 1 species